AUUGAACGCUGGCGGCAGGCCUAACACAUGCAAGUCGAACGAGUGGCGGACGGGUGAGUAAUGUCUGGGAAACUGCCUGAUGGAGGGGGAUAACUACUGGAAACGGUAGCUAAUACCGCAUACCAUCGGAUGUUCCCAGAGGGGAUUAGCUAGUAGGUGGGGUAAAGGCUCACCUAGGCGACGAUCCCUAGCUGGUCUGCGAGGAUGACCAGCCACACUUGGACUGAGACACGGUCCAGAAUCCUACGGGAGGCAGCAGUGGGGAAUAUUGCACAAUGGGCGAAAGCCUGAUGCAGCAAUGCCGCGUGUAUGAAGAAGGCCUUCGGGUUGUAAAGUACUUUCAGCAGGGAGGCGUUACCCGCAGAAGAAGCACCGGCUAACUCCGUGCCAGCAGCCGCGGUAAUUC
rnacentral:rRNA from 1 species